CCCAGACUCCUACGGGAGGCAGCAGUGGGGAAUAUUGCACAAUGGGGGAAACCCUGAUGCAGCGAUGCCGCGUGGAGGAAGAAGGUUUUCGGAUUGUAAACUCCUUUUAUCAGGGACGAUAAUGACGGUACCUGAAGAAAAAGCUCCGGCUAACUACGUGCCAGCAGCCGCGGUAAUACGUAGGGAGCGAGCGUUGUCCGGAUUUACUGGGUGUAAAGGGCGUGCAGCCGGAGAGACAAGUCAGAUGUGAAAUCCACGGGCUCAACCCGUGAACUGCAUUUGAAACUGUUUCCCUUGAGUGUCGGAGAGGUAAUCGGAAUUCCUUGUGUAGCGGUGAAAUGCGUAGAUAUAAGGAAGAACACCAGUGGCGAAGGCGGAUUACUGGACGAUAACUGACGGUGAGGCGCGAAAGCGUGGGGAGCAAACAGGAUUAGAUACCCCCGUA
rnacentral:rRNA from 1 species